rnacentral:rRNA from 1 species
AGGAAAAGAAACUAACUAGGAUUUCCUUAGUAGCGGCGAGCGAACAGGAAAGAGCCCAGCACCGAAUCCCGCGGUUCCGCCGCAGGGAAAUGUGGUGUUUGGGAGGGUCCGCUUAUCCCGAGGUGUCGCGCCGCGUCCAAGUCCAUCUUGAAUGGGGCCACUUACCCGCAGAGGGUGCCAGGCCCGUAGCGACCGGUGCGCGUCUCGGGAGGAUCUCUCCUUAGAGUCGGGUUGCUUGAGAGUGCAGCUCUAAGCGGGUGGUAAACUCCAUCUAAGGCUAAAUACGACCACGAGACCGAUAGCGAACAAGUACCGUGAGGGAAAGUUGAAAAGAACUUUGAAGAGAGAGUUCAAGAGUACGUGAAACCGUUCAGGGGUAAACCUAAGAAACCCAAAAGAUCGAACGGGGAGAUUCAUCGUCAGCGACGCUGGCUUCGCGUCGGUGGGCGAUGUCCCGCGGGGCCUCGCGGCUCGCGCGCGGGCACGCUGCCGUGCGUUCGACGUCCGGCGUUCGUCGUCGUGCACUUCUCCCCUAGUAGAACGUCGCGACCCGCUGGGUGUCGGUCUACGGCCCGGGUGCGGUGGCUGACGCGUCGCCGGUAAAACGGCACGCGUCAAACCCCCGGUCGCCCGGCCGGCUGCCCGGCGGUACACGCAAGGUAUCAGGCCGCACUUUUAACGCGCGCGCGCGCGCGCCCGCGCACCUCGGUGUGCGAGCGCGUGUGUGUCGCGCACGUUGUGCGUCGAGGCCGUCGCAAGCGCGCGCCACGGUACACGGAGGUUUAACGGACCUGGUUGCCGUCACCGGUCCUGGCCCGCUGUUGGUCGUACGGUUAACCUUCGACAGGCCUGCGAACGUCCCCUCCGAUCCUUCGCGGGGUCGGGNCAGGGGACCGAUACCGGUCGGCGACGCUACUGCUUUGGGUACUCUUAGGACCCGUCUUGAAACACGGACCAAGGAGUCUAACAUGUACGCGAGUCAUUGGGACUUGAGCGAGAUACCUAAAGGCGUAAUGAAAGUGAAGGUCGGCGGCCUUGUGGUCGUCGGCCGAGGGAGGAUGGGCCGCGUCGCGAUGCGGCUCCGCACUCCCGGGGCGUCUCGUUCUCAUCGCGAGAAGAGGCGCACCCAGAGCGUACACGUUGGGACCCGAAAGAUGGUGAACUAUGCCUGGUCAGGACGAAGUCAGGGGAAACCCUGAUGGAGGUCCGUAGCGAUUCUGACGUGCAAAUCGAUCGUCGGAACUGGGUAUAGGGGCGAAAGACUAAUCGAACCAUC